GCCAGGCACAGUGGCUCAUGCCUGUAAUCUCAACACUCUGGGAGGCUGAGGCAGGCAGAUCACCUGAGGUCAGGAGUUUGAGACCAUCCUGGCCAAUAUGGUGAAACCCCAUCUCUACUAAAAAUACAAAAAUUAGCCAGGNNNNNNNNNNCCUGGCUAAUUUUUGUAUUUUUAGUAGAGAUGGGGUUUCACCAUAUUGGCCAGGAUGGUCUCAAACUCCUGACCUCAGGUGAUCUGCCUGCCUCAG
rfam:Gorilla gorilla gorilla genomic chromosome, chr4, whole genome shotgun sequence